rnacentral:rRNA from 1 species
GAUGAACGCUGGCGGCGUGCCUAAUACAUGCAAGUCGAGCGAACGGACGAGAAGCUUGCUUCUCUGAUGUUAACGGCGGACGGGUGAGUAACACGUGGAUACCCUACCUAUAAGACUGGGAUAACUUCGGGAAACCGUAGCUAAUACCGGAUAAUAUUUUGAUCCGCAUGGUUCAAAAGUGAAAGACGGUCUUGCUGUCACUUAUAGCUGGAUCCGCGCUGCAUUAGCUAGUUGGUAAGGUAACGGCUUACCAAGGCAACGAUGCAUAGCCGACCUGAGAGGGGGAUCGGCCACCCGGGAACUUGGACACGGUCCAGGCUCCUACGGUACGCCGCAGUAGGGAAUCUUCCGCAAUGGGCGAAAGCCUGGCGGAGCAACGCCGCGCGAGAUACGACGGUCUUCGGAGCGUAAAACUCUGUUAUUAGGGAAGAACAUAUGUCUAAGUAACUGUGGACAUCGUGACGGUACCUAAUCAGAAAGCCACGGCUAACUACGUG